UGGUUUACAUUUAUAUUCAUCGGUGUGAGGUGUUCAAUCUUCUUUCAUUGGUAUCAGAGCUAGGGUUUUAAGGUGAGAGAACUGAAGGUGUCGCUAGGGUUUCACAUAGCUGGGUGUUUUGAGGCUUGGUGUUUACUGGCGUCCAAUCAUAUACUUUUAUUUAUUUGUGCUAGCUAAUUCUUUUCAUUCAUUUGGUCUGGUAUGUGUCUGUUACUCUUUACAACAAUUAAUUGUUUCAAACAUGUAUGUUCUGUAUCCAGGUAAUUUUAUUGAUAUAAUUGUUGAUCAUUUUUUAACAAGGUGAAUUAUAUCUUUGAGUUGCAUCUUUUAUUGUUAAUUGUAAAUCUUUAAUUUGUGACAUGUUGUUAUGUUUUUUAAAUUUUAUUAUAUAAAUUGUUGGCAUGUUAUAUAAUUUAUUUGCAUGUGUUAUGUUGUUUAUUAGUUGUCAAAAAAUUGAUUUUGUAAUUAAAUAUGCCAUAUUCAUAUCUUGUUGACAUGUUUAAAUUGUGAUAGCUGAUAUAUUUUUUUUGUGUGUGUUGGUAAUAUUUAUAUAUUUGAUUCUUUAUUUUUUAUGAUAGAUUAUUAAUUUUUGCUUGAUGUCUGUCUAUUAUAUAUGUGACAAUUAUAUGCAUAUGUGCUAAUUUUUCCAUGUUUAGGGUUUAUAUAAUUAACAUGCAUGAUUUAUUAUUUGUUUAACAUGUUAUGAAUGCAUAUAUGUUGUUGAUAUUUUAAUUGCCUUGUAUAUGUCAGUAGAUUAAUUAAUUGUAUAUCAUGACAUGUUAAUUGUUAAUUUAGCUUUUAUAAUUCACUUGUUUUAUUUGUCUCGAGUAUAAUUAUUGUAUGCAUAUCUUGUUAAAAUGUAUUAUAUUUUUUAUCUGAAUAUGUUUGCAUGUUUAGUUAUUUGUUAAUUAUUCUGCUUGUAUAGAUUUUUUGUGAGGUAGGUUAUAUUCAUAUGUUAAUUUAUUUUUGUCUCUAGUUUUUUGUAUCUAGCAUGCUUAGUUAUAUAUUUAUUUUAAUUAAAUGUGUUUAUUUUUAUGUGGCUCGGGUUUUAUUGUUUAUGUGAUUUUAUUGUUGUUUUUAUUUUAUACAUGCUUACUGUAUGUUAUUUGUUAAUUGUUUAAUUUUGUAUUCACAUGUUUUUAAUCUAAUCUCUGUGUUAAUAUAAUUGUUUUUAUCUAUCUGCCAAUUUUGUUUUAUAAUUAGUUUGUUUAUACCUUCUCUGUUAUAACCUGUUUAUAUAAAACUAUACUUACGUAUAUUGUAUCUCUUUGGUAGAUACAAAGAAAUGGCGAGCAAAUUGAUUGCAUCGGAACUGGCCAAAACAGAGAGGCUCAAUGGCACAAACUAUGAUAUGUGGAGCCGGAAAAUUCGAUAUGGAUUAAUCCAUGACAAUCUAGAGAGUGCAAUUGAAGAGGCUGCACCAAAAUUGGGAAAGGAAGCUACUGAUGCUAAAAAGAAAGAAUUUGACACAUGGAAGCUGUGUGACAAGAAAGCCAAAAGCCUCAUGCUGAUGUUUAUGGAUGAUAAUCUCAUCAAAGUUUUUGAGGUCUACACUACUGCAAAAGAUAUGUGGGAUGCAAUCAAAGAAAAGUAUGACACCACUUCUGAGGUGAAUGUGCAGCUCCUUCUGCACAGGUACAACACUUGCAAAAUGAAGGAAAAUGAAAAUGUUAUUGAUCACUGCAACAAAAUGAUUGUGAUGGCCAAGGACUUGGCAGCUGCUGGUAAUGAACUUUCAGAAAAUAUGCAGAUUGCUGGGAUAUUAAACAGUUUGCCUCGCUCUUUGGACAUGGUUGCAACAACUCUAAGGCACAGUGGAAAAAUUAAUAAGGUUGAUGAUCUUCCAAGUGCACUUGCUGUGGAGCAAGAUUUGGUGAAUAGCAGAAAAGAGCCAGAGCUGAAUAUUGUGCAAGAAGAUGAAUCUAACAUUGCUCGUGGGUAUCCAAAAAAUCACCACAAAAAUCAAAACAGAAUUGGUCCCUCAAAAGGGAAGAACUUCAAGCCACAAAAGUGGCAGAAGAANGAUCAUGAUUNNNNNNNNNNNNNNNNNNNNNNNNNNNNNNNNNNNNNNNNNNNNNNNNNNNNNNNNNNNNNNNNNNNNNNNNNNNNNNNNNNNNNNNNNNNNNNNNNNNNNNNNNNNNNNNNNNNNNNNNNNNNNNNNNNNNNNNNNNNNNNNNNNNNNNNNNNNNNNNNNNNNNNNNNNNNNNNNNNNNNNNNNNNNNNNNNNNNNNNNNNNNNNNNNNNNNNNNNNNNNNNNNNNNNNNNNNNNNNNNNNNNNNNNNNNNNNNNNNNNNNNNNNNNNNNNNNNNNNNNNNNNNNNNNNNNNNNNNNNNNNNNNNNNNNNNNNNNNNNNNNNNNNNNNNNNNNNNNNNNNNNNNNNNNNNNNNNNNNNNNNNNNNNNNNNNNNNNNNNNNNNNNNNNNNNNNNNNNNNNNNNNNNNNNNNNNNNNNNNNNNNNNNNNNNNNNNNNNNNNNNNNNNNNNNNNNNNNNNNNNNNNNNNNNNNNNNNNNNNNNNNNNNNNNNNNNNNNNNNNNNNNNNNNNNNNNNNNNNNNNNNNNNNNNNNNNNNNNNNNNNNNNNNNNNNNNNNNNNNNNNNNNNNNNNNNNNNNNNNNNNNNNNNNNNNNNNNNNNNNNNNNNNNNNNNNNNNNNNNNNNNNNNNNNNNNNNNNNNNNNNNNNNNNNNNNNNNNNNNNNNNNNNNNNNNNNNNNNNNNNNNNNNNNNNNNNNNNNNNNNNNNNNNNNNNNNNNNNNNNNNNNNNNNNNNNNNNNNNNNNNNNNNNNNNNNNNNNNNNNNNNNNNNNNNNNNNNNNNNNNNNNNNNNNNNNNNNNNNNNNNNNNNNNNNNNNNNNNNNNNNNNNNNNNNNNNNNNNNNNNNNNNNNNNNNNNNNNNNNNNNNNNNNNNNNNNNNNNNNNNNNNNNNNNNNNNNNNNNNNNNNNNNNNNNNNNNNNNNNNNNNNNNNNNNNNNNNNNNNNNNNNNNNNNNNNNNNNNNNNNNNNNNNNNNNNNNNNNNNNNNNNNNNNNNNNNNNNNNNNNNNNNNNNNNNNNNNNNNNNNNNNNNNNNNNNNNNNNNNNNNNNNNNNNNNNNNNNNNNNNNNNNNNNNNNNNNNNNNNNNNNNNNNNNNNNNNNNNNNNNNNNNNNNNNNNNNNNNNNNNNNNNNNNNNNNNNNNNNNNNNNNNNNNNNNNNNNNNNNNNNNNNNNNNNNNNNNNNNNNNNNNNNNNNNNNNNNNNNNNNGGAGAUGCAUUGCUUACUGCAAAUUAUACAUUAAAUAGUAUUCCCACAAAAUCUGUUGCGUCAACCCCUUAUGAAAUAUGGACUAGAAGAAAACCAGAUCUAAGCAAAAUGAGAAAAUGGGGAUGCAUUGCACAUGUAAUGAUCCCUUAUCAAAAUAGAGACAAGUUGGAUUUCAGAACUUUGAAGUGUAACUUCAUUGGUUAUUCGGAACCAUCUAAAGGUUAUGUAUUCUAUAACAAGGAAAAAGGAAUGAUAGAAAGUAGAGAUGCUACUUUCUUGGAGAAUUCUGAAGAACAAGAGGAUAUUAUAGAAGAACAAAAUCCUUUGUCAAUAAUAGAUGAUGAUCAUGAUACAGAAGAGUUGCCUCGUGAUAACACGAUUGGUGAAAAUGAGCCAAAUAGUAUCAUUGGUGUUAAGAGAACAAGAGAACCGCCUGCAUGGAUGGAUGACUAUUAUGUGUACAAUAUUGAGGCGUCUUGUUUCUCAGUAGACAUGGAAAUUGGUGACCCGAUAGAUCCUAAAACAUUUACUGAAGCAAUGAAAUCACCAGAAUCCACAUUAUGGUUGAAUGCCAUGAGAGAUGAACUUGAUUCAAUUGAAAAGAAUAAUGUGUGGGAACUAUGUGAUUUGCCUAAAGGCAGAAAAUCUAUUGGAUGUAAAUGGAUUUUAAAAAGAAAAUAUUUGGCUGAUGGAUCUAUUGAUAAAUACAAGGCUAGAUUGGUUGCAAAGGGGUUCACCCAAAAACCGGGAAUUGAUUAUCAAGAAACAUAUUCUCCGGUGGCUAAGUUUGCAUCAAUACGUAUGAUAUUGGCUAUAGUUGCUUGUCUUGAUUUGGAACUUUUCCAAAUGGAUGUAAAGACUGCUUUUCUUAAUGGAGAUCUAAGGGAAGAGAUAUACAUGGAUCAACCUGAAGGUUUUCAGGUUGAGGGUUGUGAAGACAAAGUUUAUAAGUUGAAAAAGACAUUAUAUGGACUUAGACAAUCGUCUAGAGAAUGGAAUCUCAAAUUUAAUAAUACUAUGAUUCAGCUUGGUUUCAUAUCUAACAAAUUAGAUAGAUGUGUUUACACUUUGAAAAGUGGGAGCUCAUUUGCGAUAUUGUCAUUGUAUGUGGAUGACAUAUUAUUGGCUGGAAAUGACAUAGAGAUGUUGAAUAAAAUCAAGUUGGAACUUGGUAGUGAAUUUGAGAUGAAGACAUGGGUGAGGCGUCAUAUGUUCUAGGAAUUGAAAUCAUAAGAGAUAGAAAAAAUAGAACAUUGAGCCUAAAUCAAGAAAGGUAUCUUCGUAAAGUGCUUAAUCGUUUUGGGAUGCAGAAUUGCAGUCCGGCGCCAACUCCAUUAGUAAUGGGGAAACGACUAACAAAGAGUAAAGAUCUCGAAGAGGGACAAGAAUUACUAGACAAACCAUAUGCAGAAGCAGUUGGAAGCUUAAUGUAUGCUAUGUUGUGCACAAGACCUGAUUUGGCAUAUCCGGUUAGUCUAGUUAGCAGAUACCAAAGUAAUCCUAGUCAAGCUCAUUGGGAAGCUGUUAAGAGGAUUAUGAAGUACUUGAAAGGUACAUUGCAUCACAAGUUGGUUUAUAGAGCGGACGCGCUUGAUAUUAUUGGUUACUCCGAUGCUGAUUUAGGAGGAGAUAAAGAUGAUGGAAAGUCGACUUCUGGUCACCUAUUUAUUUUAGGUGGAGCUGCUGUAUGUUGGGGCAGUAAGAAACAAGGGUGUGUUGCAAGAUACACACAAGAAGCUGAGUAUAUAGCUUGUAGUAUGGCUGCUACUCAUGCUGUCUGGAUAAGACGUUUCUUAUUGGAUUUAAAUCUCAAUUUAAUGAACGGGCCCAUUGAGAUUUAUUGUGAUAAUACAUCAGCAAUUGAUUUGAUUUAUAGUGGUGCAAACAGUUCGAAAGGACAACAUAUAGAAAUACAAUAUCAUUAUAUUCAUGAUAUAGUAGUGGAAAAGGAAGAGGUCAAAGUGACUUAUAUUCCUACUACUGAUAUGCUUGCGGAUUCUUUGACAAAAGCAAUUCCAGCCGAGACAUUUAUCAAACAUGUUAGUUUGAUGGGGUUAAGAAAUACUUGAGAUAGAACGCACGAAAAGUGGGAGUAUAGUAUGAUGUGUGUAAACAUUUCAAAAUCUUGGCUAAGCAGCCAAGUGGGAGAUGUUAGUUUGUGGCUUUGACUUAGCCAUGCAUUUUGAAUUAACCUAUAAAAUAGGUUUAUUUUAAAACAAAUAGAUAGCAUUAUGUGAUAAGUGGAUAAGUGGCUAACGUGAUGAGGCGGUUGCUGAAAGGACGGAAAGGAGGUUGUGAAUAGCCUCAAUAAAUAGCUGAUGCGCAAGCUUCAGAAGAACAUAACAAAAUACAGUAUACAAUCUUCUUGGAGUCCUAAAGCAAUAUACAUAUAUUUAUCUGGUUUACAUUUAUAUUCAUCGGUGUGAGGUGUUCAAUCUUCUUUCAAGCAUAGAGGUUUUUACGGGAUUUCAUCCCAACAAGUUAGGUUGCAAGGAAUAAGCUUGUGCAGAUAUGGUUAAUUCAACUUCAAAAGACAGUACCAUGAGCAACUGAGUAAUGCAGUAUAAAUAAAGUAAUCAAAACAUAAAUCAUGCAUAUAUCUCGCCUUUAAAAUUUACAGUUGUAAGCUAUUUCACCUGUUCCCUACAAACAAUUCAUAGAGAUCGUGGUGGACCAAAACACCAGGACUUUGUCCCAACCUACUUAUAUCAGAAUUUUCUUAUUUAUAUUGCCCAGGCACACACAAUGAAGUUGACCUCAAUGUGGAAUGUUGGUCAGAAGAAGAGAUAAGGCAUUAGUUUCUUAGUGCAUUCCAGAGUCACUAUAUAUGUUUGACUACCUCAAGAUUAAGGUUUUAAGUAGAUCAAGCUGAUUCUAAAUGUCCUGCCAAGAGCUAAAACGCCAGAAUACAGUCCAAGACAGCGUGAUUAAAUAAAUAGAAGCCCAUAAUUUGAAGUUAUCAAAUCACAUUAAUGUUUUCACAGGAUGUUACACAAGGGCCGCAAUCAAGAGAGAACCUACCCUUAGAAUAGAACCUUAGAACUACUAAGGUCCUGCUGCAGAACCCUAAAUUUUAAAUAGAUUUUCUGGAUCUAAAUCUAAAUACAUGUUGUUUGCAUUGUUGUGUGUGUUCAAAAAUAAUUUCAAAAUAUAAUACAUAAACAUGACACUUUUUGCAUGUGCAGUUCUGCUGCAGAACCCUAAUUAAUACUAGAAAUAAGGCUAAGGGUUCUAAGAGGAACAUGACUCUAUGUUAUACAAUUACUUAGAUACAUGUGUACAAAUUCAGUUGGCGAAAUUAAAUAAAUAGAAGCCCAUAAUUUUAUUUUUUUUGUCACAAAUAGAAUCCCAUAAUUUGAAGUUAUGAAAUUACCUUGAUGUUCUCACAGGAUUUUAUGCAAUUAUUUAUGUACAUGUGUACAAAUUCAGUUGGGAGUUCAACAGCCGUAGUAAGUCUGUUGACAACUUCCAUUGAAUGAAGGCUCAUGUCCAUGCUGACAAGAACUACUAAGUACCUUAAUUUAUUAAAAAACAUAUUAAACAACUGUUAUAGAAUAAUACAAUAUUCCAUUUGGAAAAAUAUUUGGAAUAUUAAAAUGAGGUACAUACUCGGCUAUUUCAGCUGAAUGUAUCAGCUUAAUGAGAACUUCAACCGCGAUUAAAGGAUUAUUCUCCACCAAUUCCUAAUAGCAAACGAGUAGCCUUUUGUGAUUCUAGGAACAGCAAAUUUAGUAAAAUGACCACAGAUAGCUAAAUACAUACCGGCAACUUUUUUGGUGUCAAUCCAGAGUGAUAUACAAGCUUUGGAUCGUUACCCAACUCAAAGAGAACCCGCUACAGAGCAUAAAGAGAAAACGUUAGGCAACAAAACAGGCUACUACAUAUUCAUUCAAAAUUAACCAUCAAUAAAAUCGAUUCACAGUAUAUCCGGUAAAGUAUGCUUAAUACAGAUGGGACUCCACUUUGCUCUUUGUUUUGGAGAUGAGAAUCAGUUGGAUGAAUAUUAGUAAAAUUUUACAUCCAUAACUUGCGAUUCCAGAUUUUCAUGAUGGUUAGAAUGCCAUGGGAUUUUUAAGAUUGCAAAGUACAUUUAAAAAAAAUUCAAGAGCAUGAUCUCAUUAAAGGUCUCAUUUAGCAAUGCAAUUACUUGACAGUUCCUUGUACAAAGGUUUAUAAGUUGGGGAAUUAUUUUGAGAAGUAAUCAGUACCGUGCAUUUCCUCAGAUUCGAAGAUAGCAUCUCUAAACAAACCACAACUCAGUUCUCAUAAUUACGAUAAUAAAGAAAUUACGGAGGCUUGAUUGUUGAGAAAAUUCCUUAAUUGGCUAAAUAAUACUCCCUCUGUCCCAUUUAAUUCUAUACGUUUCUUUUUAACUGCUCGACACGCAUUUCAAUGCUCUUAUAAAAUAUAGUUCCGUAACUUUUUUUUGAGAUUUUCUUUUUCUGUAUAAAAAUAUAACAUCCAAACUUUAAUACAGAAAAGAAAAAUUUUAAAAACAAAUUGCACAACUACAUUUUGCAGGAGCAUUAAAGUCCGUGCCGCGUCCCCGUCCCCCAAUGUAUACAACUCAGGGGGACGGAGGGAGUAAUAAUUUGUGGAAGUUCUCAACUUAGAUCUGUAAAUUCACUGAACCAUGCUCGUAUCUAGACCUCAAAGAAUUUAGUACUAUCAGCAGCCCAAUGGUCCUUAAUAUACUUUGUUUUAAGAAAAACAAGUGCCUCUUCAAGCUAGACCACAAACCUCUACAAGCACCCUAACAUUCUUUAUAUUUGGCUCUUGGAGUAGGGCAUCCAUACCUCUGCUUUUUUUUUCUGCCAUCAGAUCCAGAUCUUAGAUCAUCUAUACUGCUCACUUUGUACUUUGUAGCUUACUCCAGCAAUUAGAAUAAACUAUUAUUAAGCUAUCUAAUCCUGCCGAAUGAAUUCUCCAGUACUGUCAACUGUGUGUAUAAAAUAUUUAUUUAAAUAAGUGCGUUUAUAAUGUGGAUGAGCAGACAAGUCACAAUUCCAAGAUAAAUUUCAAUUAAAUAAUAGGAAGGAUCAGAAAUUAAUGAAGCAUAUCUGACUACUAUUUAGGUGCAUAUGCAGAUGAAGCAGUGUAAAGGAAGAGAGAACCUCUUGUUGAGCAGGGGCAAGUGGCCCCUUCAAAGCUUUUGCUAUUAAAUCCCUAACAGCUGCCCCUUUACUGGUAUCCGCACACAUCCCGUUGUCCCAUAGCAGCUCAUGAUGAUUCUCGGGGUUAAGCCAAACAAGCUGCAAGAACUCAACAGGGGUAAGGUUAAUUACUCAGUAAAGCAGAAUUAACUUUUCAAACCUAUUUGGGACUCACUUCAUCAUACUGUACUGGGAGCCUCGGUGGAUGAGGCCUAAUCCACUGAGGACCUAAUCCUUGCAAUGACAAUUUUUCUACUAACUCGGUAACUGUCUCAUCUCUAUCCCCAGCUCCAAUUUUGGGCUUGGCUCCAGGCUGUAGAUCAAACCUGAAAUAUAUCAUAAAUGAUAUGGAAAUGGGUAACAUUCAAUCAGAAUUGUAUAAGAUAAAGCAUAUGAAACUGUAUUGUAUAGAGACAAGAAAUGAAAUAUCCUAAAUAGUACUCCCUCCGUCCCCCUCAUUUGUUUACAUUGGGGGACGGGGGCUCGGCACGCAUUCUAAUGCUCUCAUAAAAUGUAGUUCGAUAAAUUAUUUUGAACUUUUUUUUCUUCUGAAUAAAAAUUUGAUGUUUAAAUUUUUAUACAAAAAAGAAAAAUUUUAAAAAUAAGUUAUAGAACUAUGUUUUAUAUGUGCCUUAAAAUGCGUGUCGAGCAGUGUGAAAAAAGUGUAAAGAAAUGAGAGGGACAGAGGGAGUAACAAACUAAUUGACGUGUUACAACAGGAGUCGUACUCAGAUGAUUCAACAUCACAACCACUGGGUAUAUCAAGGUCUGCCACCACAUUUUUAACAGAAGUGUCUUUGAAUAAGCAAUGAUAUUGUUCUGGGUGAAUAUUUUCACAAAAUUGCUGCUGCAACUGAUCAUGUUGUGGGAAAGGCUGAAACCAAGUUAACAGUGAUUAGACCAAAAUUUGUCAGGUAAACUAAUUAAAUGUCCUUUCAACAUAUGCAAGUAAAAAGUGUCAUCAGUUUGGAUUGUUUAUGCAGGUCAACUAUGUAACUUAGGACCAUGAACCAGACGUGAUCAUACCUAUAAUUUAACUGAAACAUAAUGCACAAAAUAAGAAUGUGACAAAUGAUCAAAUCAGAAAGUAUGCAGUUCACACCAAAUGGCUUCAGGAAGGUAGCAGUCUGUUCGAACUGUAAAAGAUUGUGCCUGCAUCAUUCUUCGAAAAGCCUUUUAUUCUUUGUUAUAACAUGAUUAAUAUAUCGGUCUAAAAUAUAUCUUACAAGGCACUAAUUUAAAUCAACAUAUUCAUUCCCCAAUGAUUCAAAUAAUAUACACAUGUGCUUCGUAUGUUCCACUCCAGCUGUCGACCUUAAGGUUAAUGUUACGAGACUAAAAUCCUACUGUAAAAGUGGACUCUUUAAGUUAUCCGGACACGGGUAUGGGUAUCGGACACGGGUACAGAUCCAAGAGUCAGAUUCGUAGUUUUAGGAUAAUUAGGAUUCGUGGAUGUGGAUCCGGAAUUAGACUCGGGUACGGGGACUUGGCACUUAAGCUCCAUGCAAGUCAAACUUAAUAUAGCCUGAUUUAUGGUACAUUCAUAAAAAUAGUGUCUAUUGCACAUAAAUCACAUAUGCUGAAAAUUGAAGCAUAAAAUCAAUAGAACAACAUAGAAACAAGUCAUUCAUGGAUCUUGAUCUCUAUAAACAAGUUGGAACAAGACCUAAGUUUUCAUUUUGACAUGGGAUGUUACAAGGUGAGGUGUCCGGUUGUAAUAAGAAGGAUCCGACACAGAUCCCAUACCCACACCCAUGUCAUGUCCGGUGGACACGGGUAUAGGCACAAAAAUGGAGAGUCCGGGUAACAUAGCUCUUUAGAGUUAGAAUUAGGACUAACUCGACAAAUGGAAAGCUAAAUAAAAACCACAACUGCAAAUCAACAUCUAAUUUGUUCGCUACAAAUAAUUUCAAUGUUUUACAAAAAUGAGAACAAAUAGGCAUAUAAAAUAAAAUAUUAUGAACAAGAGAUAGAGGCCCCAUUUUUCAUUCUUAAAUAAGGCCAUACAUAUAAAUGAGAUGCCUGGACACAUUUCUAUAUAGUAUGGUACUGUAAACAUAACAACAUGGGUGUCUAUUGGAUGACUUCAUAAAUAAAACAAUAAACUUAAAGUCAUCACAGGUUCGAAGGUGAUUCUUGUAUGGUACUCUAUGGAGUCUUUCUAUAAAUUUAUAUCCAUGAAGUCUUCCGGACGAAACAUAAUAGUUAGAGAGUUCAAAUAUAUGAUGUUUAGAGCCAACCAGGAGUAACUGACCCGGUGACCCCAAGAUCUAAGCACCCAUAUAUUCAACUAUUCAGAACUAUUCAGAUUAACAUCAGUUGCAGAGUAGAGGUGAUAUGUAUAUGAGUUAAAUUCUGCGUUAACUACACUCCACAUCUAACACAACUUACAUGUAAAGCACUAUCAAAACUUCUUAUGUAGUCCACUGCAGAUUGCUUUAGAACCUGAAUAAGACAUAAAUGAUGGGAAACCAUAGUCAGGACUUAUGGAAACCGUAAUACUUGGAACUUAAAACAAUAAUAAAACUAUGGAAAACCACCAUCAUGAGUCGUUAAAAACCAUAUCUUAAAGGUUAUCUAUUAAUACUCAGUACAUAAUUUAAAGAGACAAGAUAACAUGAAAACAUAAACAAACCACAGAAUAUAAGAUAGUAUUUGUUAAUGUGUCCAGGAAAUCAUAUGCAUUGAGAAAACUUUAAACAAUCACCCACAGGCCACAUCAGUUCAUAUGAAAAAGAUUAGUGUUACUCGGUCAGUUUUGCCACUAAUAAGAAGCUGGCCAAAAAACAUUAAUUGAUUUUAGCUUUUUUGUGAUUGACUUAAUCUAACAAACAGCUAGUUGCCAAAAUAGUAUGCACAAUGUGAAGGAAAAAUUAUGAAUCCUUUUAAAUAGCAAACGAUAAUUAACAUAAAUCUCGGACAAUUAGAACUUCAAACAGUAAAAAUAAUAUAUAGAAAUUAAGGAAGUCAACUAAUUUAGUGGAGGAAGGAAAAGAAAACCUCUUUAUUACUUGGAGAGCUAGAUGACUCUAAUAACAGAAUUAUAAAUGCCCUCUCGAAUUUCUCCGCAUCAUGAUCACCUGCUGCCUACGAAUGCCCAGGAAAUAAUAGAACAAAGAUAUUCAUUACAAUCAUGAGAUCAGCAACAUAAUGCAAUAUUUUUCUGCCUAGUCCUAGAAACCUUCAGUAGCAUGGUUACUUAUCAGUAUAAGAAACCAAUACUUCUAAGAAAGAAUUAUUAUUAAAUGCGUAGCUAUAUAGAUCACAUAUUUGUUAAUAGAGAUGUCAUCUUUUACAAUUUGUACAUGUAGAGGCAUUAAAGAAUCAGAAAUAAUUCUUAGUCAGAGCUAAUAUAUAAAUGUCAUAGCACCAGAAAUAUAUAGGUUGUACAUAACCACCUACAUCUACUAGCAAAGAAAUGAAAGGGUUUGAUGAAGUCUUCUGGGAGGAAUAAGCCUGAUAUAGUAUAGCGAAUGCAACCAAACGCUGGGAAGAUCUGAGCAUUUUCUUAUCCUGCAAAUAUACAAAAAUUGAUAAUUAAUAAGUAUCACUUAGUUGGCAACUACAUACAUACAUGCAACAUAGUAAAGCAUAUUUAACUGUAACAUAUAUGAUUUCAAGGAAAAUAUUUAAUUAUAAAUUAUAUAUCUAUUCUAAUCAAAAAUAUCUAUGAUUAUUUGCAGCUAAUAAUAUCUAGCACCAAAGCAAAAUGAUUAUGCUUUUCAUAUGUUAAGUUGAUUCCGAGAACAAAAGUAAGUGAAGUGUGAGUAUGAUAUGUAUACCUUAUAAACGAUACAUCUUAAUUAUAUUGCUAAAAUAACUCUCAAGUUUUAACCACAUAGUCCACACUGCAUAUCGUGUGGAGCAAUAUAUAUUUUUUAACUACAACUCAAUCUUCAGAAGCUAGUGUUAGUAGUGAUCAUUUACAGGUUUGAGAAAAGCCUUUUAUCAUUUGCAAAGUCCUCUACUAUAUUGUAUUUAACUUGUGCAUUACACCUGAUUUUUCCUAUGAUAACCAAAAAAUACAAGUCUAUUCUUAUUUGGGUGACGGUGUCCAAUAUAAAGACAAUGCGUGUCGGCAAGUUUCUUAAUAAAUUCAGUACAACACCCCCGAGUGCAACUGAAAGACAACAAAACUUUGACAUUUGUACCAACCUUCAGCAAAAAAACUAUAUUAUAAACAUUAUACAUCAGGCUUACGUACAAGUGCCGAGUUUAGAAAAUUCAGUCUACCACCUCAGUAGACAACUGAAUGGCAACAAAACUUUGACAUUAAUACCUUAUACCACCUUCAACAAAGAAAAAACCUAAUUUUCUUAUAUCAAACCUCAGGCUUAAGUAAAAGUGCUGAAUUCAAAUUCUUUUCCCGAUUUUGAUAUAACAAAAUUUCCUUAUAAAAGGUACCAAAUAAAUAUUCACUAUCCAUACCCAACAAUCAAGAAAAUCAGCAUUCAAGAAAACAAAGUCCCCGCGGUUUACUGUCAAAUAAAGAACAAAUCUGCAAGAAUCUUAUGGAAACAAUCAAUGCACACAGUCCAGAAUUUAACAUUCAAAACCCUAAAUCUUCAGCAAUUAAACCCUCGCACAACCAAAUUUUAGCAAAAUUUAACACACACAGCUCAAUUCUAUAUCAAUCUCAUCAACAAAAAAUAACACCGUCAUCGAUAAAUAUAUAUAUGUGUACAUAUAGAGAGAGGAGGGAGGGGGAGAUAGAGGGAAGGGUAGAAAGGGAGAGAGAGAGAGAGAGAGAGGAGGGGCGAGUGGGGGAAAGGGGGAGAGAGGGAGAGAGAGAAGGAGGGAGAGAGAGAGAGGAGUGGGGAGAGGGGGAGAGAGAGAGAGAGAGGGAUUGCCUCUAGGAGGAUAACCAGCGAAGAGCAGAGUCUGAAGUGGACAGACGUCUGAAAACUAGAGAAGAAAUCCGCGACAAUUUCGUGGAACGGCCGGUGUUCGCCGGAAUUGAGCAGAGAGUAAAGAAGUUUGGAUUGUUGAAACGAAAUCAUUUUUCUUCACUGAUUUUGCUGCUCGCUUCUGCACUCAGGAUGUGUGUGUAUGUAUGCUGCCGUGUGUUUAUAUGUGUAUAGUGUAUCUCCCGCCGCGUGGGCGGUGGGCCAGAUACAAAAGAUAUAAAAAUACUAUGCACGAUACUUUCCCCUAAAAAUAUUAGCGAAAAAGUAAAAACUUUCCAAUUUUUGCCGAUUAUGCACUUUAUUCAUAGUUAUCUUAGAGCAACUCCAAGGCAACAUCUCCCUUACUUAUAAUGAGUCUACGUGGACAAAAAUAGGGGUUGAAGUAAAAAUUCUUCACUCCAACCAUCCUCUCCUUACCUAAAAUUUUUAGGUGAGAGAAAACAAAACCCCUUCUUUUGGGGAUAAAAAAGUGAGCCCCUAUUUCUUCCAACUCAUAAAUCUCUUUCAUUUUCUUUCACUUUUUAUGUUCCCUCCUUUUUUUUAUCUACCCCACCAUAGUAAAAAUUUUAAUAAAAUAUUUUUUUUUUCAAUUAUAGGGAUGAUUAUAGGGAAUACCAUUGGAGUAAAACAAAUUUUUGCUUACUUAUAUUUUAGGUAAUCAUUAUUUUAUUAUAUUUUAGGGAUCGAAAAUAAGUAACACCAUUGGAGUUGCUCUUAUAUCUUAUUCUUUUAUGAUCUUUUUAUAUGACAUAAAAAUACAAAUCAGAUUAUUCGAUAAAUAUAAAAAACAAGAAUUUACUGGAUUAAUAAAUAAUUACCGAAAGAUUUUAUCAACCCAACAAAUUACGGGAGUAGUCAAUGGUUGAUUAGAAUUAAUUAUCAAUUUUUAAAAUAAUAAUUAUAACUUGACAUUUCACUGUUUUAGAUAUUAUUCAAAAUACACUAAUAUAUGCAUAUAUAUGUAUUUUGACAACGUGUCGAGAUAAUUAUUAUUUGCAUUACAAAAUUCUAUUAUUGUAAAAUAAUAAUCGGUGUCUAUGAAAUUCCACGACUACUAUUCACAAAUCUAAUCAUAUGAAAUUCUAUUUUGUAUUAUUUUUCAUUCUAUACAUAUUACUUUCCAAUUUAUUAAAAUCUAAAUAUGAAUAAUGUGUGUUUUAUUGUUUUUUAUUGUUUAAAAUCGUUUUGAAGAGACAUGAUAAUCAAAUGAUGUGUUAUAAAUAAAAUAAUUAUCUAAUAAUAAUUUUUAUUUUGUAUAUUUGGAGGAGUAGUAUGGGAAAUGAUAUUUUUAAGUAUUUUUUUUUUUGCCAGCAUAUUUUUAAGUAUUUUAAUAUGAGGUCAUGAUAAUUUUCUGUAAAAGUGAAAAUAAUUUUUUCUGAAAUUUGGAAUGACCUGAAUUAUAUUUAAUAUUCAUGGUAAAAAAUAUGUGACCAUAACAAGUUAUUAUUUAGAAAUGUUUAAACUUUCUAACUAGUUUUUAAUAAAAUCAAUAUGAAUACGAAUAAAAUUUGAGGGGAAUUUUGUGUGACAUGAAAUAGCUACCGAAUUCUCCCAUCCACGAUCACUGAUAAACAAUAUAAGAAAUUUUGUGUAAUGAUUUUCAUAUUAUUUAUAUAAUUUUUAGUCCUAACACAUAAGAUGAAUUUUAAAUCGAGAAGGUGUUUUUACGAGAAGCAUUCUAAAUCAGAAUAAUGAUAAUAGUAAUAAGAGAUUAUUAAACAAUAUAUUAAUAAAAUAAAAAUUAAUAAAAUAAAAAUCAACAUAUCAAAAACAUCAGUAUAAAAUUUGAUCCAACAAUGUGUUAGUGAUGCCUUAUAUAGGACAACCUCCCCAAGCCCUAUUUUUGGGGCACAUCUCACCUUGCCCUAUUCAAUAAUUUAUUAUAAAUUCUCAUCACACUCUUUUUCUCUCUCUACUUUUAUAUUAUGCUUAAAUGAUGAAAGAGAGUCUUUAAUAAUAAAAUAUUAAACAUAGUGUGGGAAUAAAGCACAUUGUUGGAGUUCAAGUUAGUAAAGUAUGUCCUAAAUUAUUAGGACAUAAUAUUUUAUAUUAUAUUUGAGGCAUGAACUAGGACCCUCUUGGACUUGUUCUAACAGAAAAGCGUUCAGAUUAACAAAACUGACAGGGUAAAAAAUCAUCUGCUUGAAAUCACGGUUGUAAUUUUUUACCCCAUCAGAUAAAAGUAAAACAAGAAGUAUUUAUCCGUUGACUUUUCUGAUAACCCCUUUCUCCAAUCCACCUCUCUAUAAAUCAUCAUAAAACCUAAAAAUCUGUCUGCAAAUUUGUUCAAAUCCCACCAAAAUUUACCCUUCAAGCUAUUAUUAUAUGGAUUUUACAUGCAAAGUUUCAUCUUUAUCAUUAAAUUCAUCAAAAUCCCUGUUUUUGCUGCAAAUUUUGGUUCAAAUUUUGGCCCUUUUGCUUAUAUUUAACCCCUGGAUUGAAAGACACCAGUUUUAUACUAUUAGUUAGGGAAGGCCCAGGUGGGGUUGAAUUUGAGGUAUGUUGGUGUUGAUUUUUGGGUAAAGUUUGGAUUUUCAUGUUGUUUUUGUUUUACGCUUUUCUUGAUUCCUGGAGUUAACUUUUUGUGGGUAUGUGGAAUUUGUUUGAUUUGCGUGUUGUAAGUUUUUUGGUUAAUGUUAAGGUUGUGUAACGCUGUAUGAUUUUGUAUGCUUGAUUGAACUCGGAGAAAUUUAAUUUUUGUCGAAAAGUUAUAAUGUUGGUAGCAAAUUGUAUGAGGUUGAUGUUAUACAUGGUUACUAGAAGUACAUUGAGCUCUCAGCUCUUAUUACGAGUCGGGGGAUUGUCCAUGGUGUAAGUUUUGGUUAGACGUUAAGUAGUAGAUUUUUUUACUUGGCAAAUAAAGGGGGAACUAGUUUUUGGCAGAUGGGUUACUGGUAGUGGGAAUAACAGUGAUUGAGGAGUUUCAGUAUAUGCAUGUAAUAUGUCUAUCGACUCAAAUAGCAUUCUUGUAGCGGUUGCAAGUGAAACAGUUGCAGCAAUUAAGUCUUAGAAAAGGUACGAGUGCGAGCAACAAGUGCAGAAAUGAUUUUGUCUAGGCAAUAACAGGAUGAAAGUACUUGGGAGUUUUUUUAAUUUGAAUCUGCAACUUUAUGGACAUAUUUGAGUAGCUGUCAGGAAAACCUGAAGUUAGCUGAGCUAUAAGAUUUUAUGGUCCAUACCAGCUACAAGGUUCCUGAAGGAAUCGGGGACUAAUUAGGUCCUUCACUUGUCUUUCCAUAUUUCCCUAUAAAUUUGUUCAAGGUACAGUGAUCAGGUGAUGUUGAAGUAACAUUUCACAUGCUUCUGUUGAUGAAGGUGUAUCAGAAGUUGGACCUUCGAGGUUACCAAUACUGAGAACAAAGUAACAAGUCAUCUGCGUUUAUCCCUGAUGAUAUGAUUUGCAACCUCUCGCAUAACCUGGAGGAAGCUUAUGGUGGCGAUCAAUUACUUUUUUUGUGAUACGGUACAAGUCGCAGUUGGAUGCUAACCUUUUCUUUUUGGCAGUUGGGUAUAUUAUGUUAGUUUUUAUUAAUCAAUGCAUAUACAUUAUAGCCUAAAUUAAUUAAUCAUAUAUAUAUGCAGUUGCUCAAAUACAAACUAAAAUUAAAAUGAGAACUACAAACUAAUCAAAGCUCUUUGAUGAAUCUAAUCUAAUGCCCCCCAGAAGUCACCACACACAAUUUAAAUAUACCAUUUCACAUAUGAUCCCACAUAAUCCCCUCCAAUUCUAAUUUGAUUUUUCCCGUCAACCGGUGAGCUUUUGUUUAAAAAAAAAAUAAAAUCUUACUUCAGUGUGUUUUUCUUCAUCUCCCAACGAUCAAUUUGCAUACCAUAUGUGCUCUACUUCGAUGUGAUUUAGAAUUUUUUUUUAUUUUAUUUUCUAGUUUUUAUUUCAACGAUGUUUUUAUUGGAGUAGGAUCAUAUAUAUAUAUAUGUUGAAAAACUGUCAGUUUAGGAAUGAAUUAAUUGCAAAUAUAUAUUCUCACUCCCCUGGCUGAUAAUCUUGCAAGCAAAUAAUUCACCCCCUUGUAAGACAUUUGGUAGGCUUAGGAUAUGUUAUUGGGUCUUACUUCAUAUAUGUGUGUGUGUGUUUGUGUGUGUGUGUGUGAUUGAUGUGAUGAGCUGAGAGGAUUUUAAAGAGUGUUGGCUACCAUAAAUCAGUAAACUGAUGACUGAUGGUGUGUAUCGGUACAGGGGGAUAUCAGUUCAAUAAGAGACGCUGUACACUGUAGUUAUUAGGUUGCACGCUUUUCAUGCUUGUGUUUUAGCCUUUCACGUUGAUGCGGGUAGUGUAUCAUCUGACACGCCAGUAUAGAUUUUGUCUAUUUGAUAAAUAGGGCCUCAUUUUCUUAUGGAGGUACUGCGGACACUUUUAUUUUACAUUGGAGUAAGCAAGGCCUUCACCCUAUAAUAUAUUAAAUGACGGCGUAUAAUAUACGAGAGGUAAAUCUUUUCUAAGAUUUUAAAAAGUUAUCGCGGUUAAAAGAAGAUUUACUUGUAAUGUACGGUUGAAGUUAUUUACUGCAUCGGAUACAAAAGUAAAACGAGAAGAAUUUAUCUGUUGCUUUUAUUACAACCUCCCCCCCCCCCCCCCCCCCCCCCUCUAUCUCUAUAUGAAUCUUCUUCUGUACAUAUACAUCAUAUAUCUAAAUCUUCCUGCAGAUUCGACAAAAUCCUCAUUCAUUUAUCAUCUCUAAGUUUUAAUUAUACAGAUUUUAUAUUCAUAUAUAUCAUCAUCAUCUUCAUCAAAAUCUCUGUUCUUUAAACUUUGAUCUGAUUGUUGUCUUUGUUGUUUAUGUUCAAUCUGUGGAUUCAAAAGCACCAGAGUUAUAUACUAUUAUAUAGAACAACACCCAGGUUGAUAAAAAAUUCAAGGUAUGUUGUUUUUGAUAUAUGAUUAAAGUUUAUUUUUUUUGGUGCUGGUAUGUUAUUUAAAAAAUAAAUAAAUUAAAGUUAACUUUUUGAGUGUGCAAGAUUAAGCUUUGUUGCUAAAAAUAUUGUUCUUUUGGUGUAUACAUAUAUGUUUAUGGAUUAGAGUAUAUGGAUUUUGGGUAUAAAUUAUAAUGCUUUAUGGUUCGGUAUAUUUUUCCCCAAAUGUUGUUAUGUUUAUGGCAAAGUGCACUCUGGAUAAUGUUUUAUAUGCUAGUUGCAAGUUCAUUGAUCUCAAACCACAUGGGAAGCCUGAAAGCCUUACAGUUAAAUAAGUCUGGGGAUAGUCAUUGGGAUAAGUCUCGGGUAGAUGGGGAGUGGGUUAGAAGUAGUGGUAUGAACGGUCUUAAUAAGUUUCACGAAGUUUAUUUAGACGGGGAUGCUAAAAACCCUUUACUGAAGGUUGAAGGAUAUAUGCAAGAGAUGAGAGAAUAUAUGUCCUCUAUAUAUGGAAUAUAGUUACUUAAGUAGCAUUCUUGGAAGAAUUGUAAGAGAAACAGUUGCAGCAAUUCCUUUUUAGUAAAGUAUAAUUGCGAAGCAAAUAGUGGGGAAAUGAUUUCAUUUGGGCACAUUUUAGGAUGAAAGUACUUGGGUUUUUGGUGAAUUUGAAUUUACAACUUAACUUACAAAUUUGAGUAGUGUCAGGAAGAAACAUAUUGGUGCUGCUGAACUAACAAGUCAGCAACCUCUUGACAAACCUGGAGGAAGCAAUUUAUAGAGGUCAACCACAAUUUAUGAGGUCAACCACUUUUAUGCAAUAGAAAUCUCAUUUGGAUGCACAGUCUUUUGGCCUUACAGUUGAAUGCAUAUUGAAUAUUUUACGGACAUAAAAUGAUAAAGUUUUUGGACGCACUGCUCAUUAUUGGCAUGAUGAAGAUUUUAAUUGGGUUUGCUGCUGUAGAAUUUGUGGUUAUUGUUUGUAUUCGGAGUUCAGGGGGUUCAGUCACAGAAUUUUUUCAAGAAUAUUUUCUUUUUAAUUAUUUAAGUUGAUUAGUGUGCAUUCGAAUACCAUUUUUAGAUUUGGGGUGGACACCUGAUGGACAUGUGAUUUCGCUCUGUACUGGUUUAAUCUUACUUUCCAUUGUCUAUCAAGUAAGUUUACUUUGCAGGAGACUCAUUUAAAGUUCUAAAAUGGCCGGAUUUGUCAGGUUCCCUAGCUCUGAACAUUAGAGUAUAGCAGAUGUUUAGUGAGAGCCACUUGUAUUUUAAGUUGCUUUGGAAAGCUUUUCGCAGACUUACUCUUUUAUGUAUCCACACACACAGAAACACACGUGACUUAUGAUGAGCGAUGACCUUUCUUGUGUAAGAGGCUGCCAAUAUGUGUUUGUGUGUGUGUUUUGGGUCUUGAAUCUGUCAGUUAUUCGGGCAGAUUUUUGACUUUUUGUGUCUAGUUAUGUACUUAUCUGUUUUCCUAUGUGCCCAUUCCUGGCCAGGUAAAUUUAAGUUAUGAAAGAUUUCGAAUAAUUUAUUCCUAUAUGUAUAGAAGGGUUUUUAUCUUUCUGUUUUUUUAAUUUGUUUACAUUUGUUGCUUUAUAUUUUUAGGUUUGGAGGUCUUCGAAGACCUUUUAAUCGUCAAUUGUUGGGUCAUUGAUAUCAAAGUAAAAGAUUUUUGGCCAAGAAAGAAGUAUUUCAUCACGUGGUAUCCAGUUUGCAUGUGACAAUGUCAGCAAGGAAAUUUAAGAAUGCAGGAUGGGCUGCGUAUAAUUCAAAGCAACAACAGGCUACAGGCCUUAGAUCAAAAGCUUGCGAGGAGCCUUUUCCACCUAUAUCAAGUACUACCAUACCUAAGAAUCACACAGGCUUAGUGAAAAAUAAUCAUAAUGUGGCACAGUCUUUUUCUUCCGUGCUUCUACCCUCGGCUAAUUUUCCAACAUUGGGGGCUAAUAAGGAUAUUGAGAAAUCAUUACCGAGAGGAAGUUGUACAAAUGAAGUUAUUUUAAAAAAAUGUCAGGACAAUGGCAAUGGGGUUUAUGAGAAGCUGAAAAAGCUUCAUCCCUGGGCUGAGAAAAGUUUGAUUGAAGAUAUUAUGGAAGCUGUGAAUAAUGACAUUGACAGGGCCUCAGAUCUCUUAAAAGAAAUGGUUUCUUCUACGAGUCUUCAUGAAAAAAAGGAAACAGAAGUUACGGAUUUUAGAUACAAUGCUGAAAAUUUCUACUCAGAGAACAAUACUUUUUUGACUGAUAUAGAUCUGACUUUACGUGAGACCCAAGAUCUUGUAGGAAUUAGCUAUGGGCAUCAAGAUGAUAUUGUAUCUAGGAAUAAAGAGCUGACUGCUGAUACUUCUGCAUUUGGAAAAGGCCAUCCUGAUCAUUCAACAAGUGAACUCCAGAGUCUGCGUAGCUUGACUAAUAUUCCUGUUGAGCCUGAAUGGGAAGAGGACGAUGUUUACUUGGUUAAUCGGAAAGAUGCAAUGAGAAUGAUGAGGUGUGUAAUGAGCAUCCCUAACCAAACCCAAAAAAAAAUGUUUGAUUAUUAUAUUACCUAGCAGUUUUGGUUAUGUUUUCUUACAAACAUCCAUUAUGUUUUUUAGUCACUCCUUGAUGUUUUGUGGAACAGGUUAGCUUCACGGCAUUCAAAGGCGGCCAGUGAUGCUUAUUUAAGAGGUGAUCACUUAUCUGCCCAACAAUAUUCCAUGAGGGCCAGGGAAGAAUGGAAGGAAGCUGAAAAGUAUAACGCAGUGGCAGCAAAGGAAAUCCUAAGAAAAAGGAAUUGUGAAAAUGAUUUGUGGAAACUGGACUUGCAUGGUCUGCAUGCAUCGGAAGCAGUUCAGGCGUUAGAGGAACACUUGCAUAAAAUUGAGUCUCAGUUUGCACCUUUUACCAAUCCAGUCAACACCACAAACAUGGUAAGAUCUGCCUCUCUGGACUCAUUAGGUAAGGAGAAGUUCGAUAAGCAGAAGGCAUCAUUUAGGCCCAGGUCAACAGUAUUAGAAGUUAUAACAGGUAUGCUAUAGUGCCUUUUUCUUAUAACAGUGGCUACUCCUUGAUAGAUCGAGAAUUAUGCUCAAUUUAUAUGCUAAACGUCUGUCCUUUUUUAGUUUAUGUACACUGAAUUGUGUCUGUUUAGUUUAUUCCUGUACUUAAUGUUAAUUGUUGUGUGGAAAUUAUGGGAGUAGCUAGGACUUGAUCAGGGUAGACUCUUUCCGUGAGUGUAGUACCUAGCAUGAGGUAGUAGAUGUUAAUUAGCUAAGCACAUGUUACAUCUCUAGUAGACACUCACGCGGCAUGUGACUAUCCCUGUUAAAUUAUCUUCCUAAGUUGAUUUAAAUCUUGAAACUAUAAACUAUGUUACCCGGACUUGGCUUAAAGUGUCCAACAUAUAUAUGUGUCCAAGUGUUGGGCUCGGCAAUAUUUAGAAAAUAUUACCUGUUUCCUGCCUAUAAUAAGUAUCGGAGUGUCAAUACUCAUGUCCGAGUUUCGAGUUUCCGACAGGGUUACUCGAGGCAAAUUCAUAAAUAGGGGUAAGAGAGACUAUAAGACUCUCUCUAUUAAUACUCACCUCUCCAGUUAAGUCCGACACUCCUUGAUUUUAAUUGAUUGUUACAUCUCCAGUUGAGCCCGAUCCUCAUUGUUUUUGCUGUGAGUAACAAUCCUAUAUUAUGAUGACUUGAGUACCUUAGGAAGAAAAUAGCGGGCCAAUGCAAGAGUUAUUAGGUUUUAAAUAUUUUGUUCACUAAGCGUAUCGUUUUGUCUUCUUCUCACCUACUGAUAACUUAUUUUGUGUUGACAUUCCCUAAGAUACUAAAAGUCCUUCGUAGUUGCUUCCAAAUGACAUGUGUCCAUCGGACCUUUAAAUUUAGGCGUGUUCUUUUUUUUCCCUGCAGGCAUAGGACUUCACAGUCGAGGGCAAGCUGCACUUCCAAGUGCCAUUGAAACGUUUCUUAGUGAAAACAAGUGAGUCCUCUCCCUCUCUUUCGUUCCAUUAAUGCCAUCCUUUCCUUUUCUAUUCCAAAGUUGCAUUUAUAGGUCUAUUUCAUAACCAGACACUUAAAGGUGUUAACGGGGUUGAGCUCAUACUCUGAUUACACGGGGAAGAUAAUUAAUGACACCUGUAAUUUUGCAGAUACCAUUAUGACAAGGCUCGGCCUGGGAUGAUAGCAGUUCGACCCAAGUAUAGGCGCAUGUAAAUGUAUAAUUUAUACUUCUGAUAGAGGACGGGCCAUGCGAGCCGCGGUCUCAUUGUGGACAGUAUAGACAAUGUGCAAAUUGUUAUUAGAUUAGUUCGAAUAGCAAUGACCACACAUAAUCAGCAAAGCAGAAACAAUGAGCACACAAUUUGCUGAAGUAAUAUUUAAUUUAAGAUUGCAUAAUCAUGGCAGUAUUGAACUGAAGGCCUAGACUAUUAUUCUCUGUUUGACGCUCAAGGGCCAAACUCAAGGGCCAGUUUGGCUUAUCAUAUUUUUCGGGACGCAAAAGUGUUAUAUUUUAUGUGGAGACAAGUACUUAUUUUUGUCCGAACAUGUUCUUUAUUUGAUUUUCUUUGCUAGUCCUAAUAUACACAUGUGAAUAUAUUUUUAUAUAACAAUGUAAAUAUAUUUUCCAUGUGAAUUGAAAAAGUAAAUAAUUUCAAAAAAAAUAUCCAGCGGGUAAUAAUCUUGAAAUUGAUUAUUUUCAUAAAUUUUAUUAAAACAUGAUUAAAAUUAUCAUUCUUUUAACUAUAAACUAGAAGAUGUGUAUGUAUGAUUUCAAAAAAAAAAAAAGAGAGAAUAUGUAUGUAUAGUUUUUCUGUGAACACUCACAAGUCUUUAUAAAUUAAAAAAUGAUAUUUUUUCCACCCUCGAUUUCGUUGAAUUGUUAUUAUUUCUUUUAUGUUACUUGACAUGCAUUUUAAAUCAUGCACAUAAAAUAUAAUUUUAUAAUUUAUUUUUAAUUUCUUUAUAGCAAAAAAAUAAAAUAAUUAAUGAAACUAAUCAGAAGGGACAGAAAUAAUAAUUAGUUAACAAACAAUGUAACAAAUUAUUUACUGAAAAUAUAUUACAUAUUAUUCUUUUUUUCUGUUUCGAUCAUCAUCCGUUACAAAAUAUCAAGCUAUUCCAUUAAUUUUCCUAAAAAAAAACUGAGUUCGAAUUCAGCUAAUCUAUCUAUCUAUAUCUAUAUCUAUAUCUAUAUCUAUAUCUAUAUAAUCCUAAUCUGUGAAUACAAAGGAUAUGCCAAAUGACCUUUUCUGCCCUUCAUUUUAUUUUCUUUGUAUACUGCCCAGGGUGCUACACGUAAAUAAACAAGCUGCUUGGAUCAUCCACAAGAUAACGGGUACUGACCCAGUUCAAAUUGCAACUGCUUCCAGCUUUAAUUACCAGAGGACCCGAAAUUGAGCGGGCGAUCCAGAAUAUUUUUCGAAUUUGAUGGUCGGUUAUGUCAGCCCAUAAUCUCAGUAGUUAUUUUCCGAAUUAUUUUGACGAGAAACUGCUCCCGCUGAAAGGGCCAUUAAUCAUCUUUUUACUGGCAAUUUUGAAUCAUAUAUGAGGCAAGUAUCUUAUCUUUCCAUUUCCUCCAUCAUUCCAUGAUCACGCUUCGUCUUUCUUGCUUAAUGGAUCGGACGGGUUUCGUCGUACUACAAGGCGAAUGUAGUGUCCUCCUUAUCCAUUAUCUCCUUCUUCUCAGAUUGGUGAGUAACAACAACGGCUUUGUGUAAUUCAAAAGUUUCAUCUCAGUUUCUUGAAGAUUUGCAGAUUAUCAUGUAUCCGUCAGAUUCGGUUGGAUUAUACUCUUUGUUUUUUUUGCUUCGUGUUUACUAAAAUUAUAGUCCAACUGUUCGAAGAAAUGCUUCAAAUAAUUAUCUAUGCAUAACUGUAUUUUUUUGUUAAUUAUCUCACAACACAUUGUUGUAUCAAACAAAGUUUUAUAUUUUGUUCUUGGUAAUAUAAACUGGUAUUUCAGAUUUCGGUUUGUUACAAUUAAAAUUCACCUCCUUUGAAUUUUCCUGCAGUAAGCACAUUAGGAGCAAGUAUCUUCACAUCUCCACAUUUCUGAUAGGAUUCGCUUUUUGUUCCAGAUGUACUACAUUGCCUGAAUUUGUUGAUUCUUGGGCCAAAGAGCUCUUCCUUUAGUAUCGGCAACAGAAUGAAGCUUAUGCACAGGCUUAGAAAUACCUCUAACAAUGCUUCUGACUGACCUACUACGACAAGGUAGGCCAACUAUAUCUAGACUAUGUUUCUUCAUUUCUUUUAUGAGGCACUUUUAUCUUUAAACGGUUCAAAUAUAGAUUAGUCUGCAGUUGGUUUAAGACUUUAAGGUACAUUACGUAUCAGUUGUUUUUUGAGCUUAAGAUAAAGAUACUAUAUAUAUGGCCAAAUCACUUACACUCAUUCUUUUCCUGUUUUGUUUUUCAUGGAUACUAUUAGGGCAC
rnacentral:lncRNA from 1 species